AACGCGAAGAACCUUACCAGGUCUUGACAUCCCGCUGCCCGGUGUAGAGAUACGCCUUUCCCUUCGGGGACAGCGGUGACAGGUGGUGCAUGGUUGUCGUCAGCUCGUGUCGUGAGAUGUUGGGUUAAGUCCCGCAACGAGCGCAACCCUUGAUCUUAGUUGCCAGCAUUCAGUUGGGCACUCUAAGGUGACUGCCGGUGACAAACCGGAGGAAGGUGGGGAUGACGUCAAAUCAUCAUGCCCCUUAUGACCUGGGCUACACACGUGCUACAAUGGACGGUACAAAGGGCUGCCAACCCGCGAGGGGGAGCCAAUCCCAGAAAACCGUUCUCAGUUCGGAUUGCAGGCUGCAACUCGCCUGCAUGAAGCCGGAAUCGCUAGUAAUCGUGGAUCAGCAUGCCACGGUGAAUACGUUCCCGGGCCUUGUACACACCG
rnacentral:rRNA from 1 species